AUGGGAGGCGAGGGAGAAGCGAGCCCGCGGCCGCCGAUUGGCUGGUGCGCGCGCACCGUUGGUACCAGCGGGUUGCGGGAAGGGGGCAGGGAGCCGUGAGGCGGCGGGGCCGUGAGGCUGGGCCCCGCGUCCCGCCCGCCCGGCGCUCCCGCUCUGUCCGGCCGGCGGGCGUGGAUGCCUCCUCCGUGUCCAGUCAGCCCGGCAUUGUGCAGAACACGGCGGGACCGGGCUCCUGCCCUGCCCGUGCCCACUUUCGAGAGCUGGUGCCCGCCCUUCCCCUCCCUUCUUCAUGCGGCGCUGCCCCUGGUGUGGUGCUUCCAGCUGUUUUAAUGGAGAGCAGUUGGGAACGGGAGUCAGGGCUGGCAGCUUCUCUCGUAUGAGAGGCUGCAGGGGCUGGGCCUGCUUAGCCUAGAGAAGAGGUCUGGGAGCGGAACUCGUUAAUGUAUGUGAACAUCUCAAGGGUGGCUGCCAAGAGAGUGGUGCCCAGCAACAGGACAAGGAGUAAAGGCCAUAAACUAAAACACAAGCAUCACCACAACAUGAAGAAAGGAAGAACCUCUUUACAUUCAGGAUGGCCAAGCACUGGAGCAGGUGCCCAAGGAUGUCAUGGAGGCUCCCUCCUCACAGAGUCAUUUAAAGCCCACCUGGAUGCAGUCCUGUGUAACCUGCUCGAGGUGACCCUGGCUUGGAAGAUGGUCCCUCCCAACACUAACAAUUAAGUGAUUCUGUCUUUCUGCCACCCAACAGUUCUCCAGAGAGCAGAAUAGGAAGCACUGCCUGAAGGUAUAAACACAGUGAGAAACCUUGAAUUACAGUCACAGAAAAUCUGUCCAAAACCACGUUUGUGCAUGGAUCAAGAAUGGAAAACAAGAAGGAUCCCUGGAAGCAGCUCAACAUGGUUCUGAUUAGAGUAUACCUGAGCCAGCCAGUGCAUGCAAAUACCCAGCUGAACAUAAAUUUCAGAAUUUGUGUAGACAUAUUGGGCUGUUGUAGGACAAACUG